rnacentral:tRNA from 1 species
GCAGUGGUAGUUCAGUGGUAGAAUGCCGGCCUUCUGUGUAGGAGACCUGGGCUCUAUUCCCAGGCAAUGCA